rnacentral:rRNA from 1 species
UACCGGCGGCUCGAGUGGUGGCCGCUUUUACUGGGCUUAAAGGGUCCGUAGCUGGAUCUGUGUGUCCCUUGAGAAAUCCAUCGGCUCAACUGAUGGGCGUUCAGGGGAAACUGCAGUUCUAGGGACCGGGAGAGGUGAGAGGUACUGCCGGGGUAGGAGUGAAAUCCUGUAAUCCCGGUGGGACGACCUAUGGCGAAGGCAUCUCACCAGAACGGCUCCGACAGUGAGGGACGAAAGCUGGGGGA